GAUGAACGCUGACAGAAUGCUUAACACAUGCAAGUCUACUUGAACUUCGGUUUGGGUGGCGGACGGGUGAGUAACGCGUAAAGAACUUGCCUCACAGUUAGGGACAACAUUUGGAAACGAAUGCUAAUACCUGAUAUUAUGAUUUUAGGGCAUCCUAAAAUUAUGAAAGCUAUAUGCGCUGUGAGAGAGCUUUGCGUCCCAUUAGCUAGUUGGAGAGGUAACGGCUCACCAAGGCGAUGAUGGGUAGCCGGCCUGAGAGGGUGAACGGCCACAAGGGGACUUAGACACCGCCCUUACUCCUUCGGGAGGCAGCAGUGGGGAAUAUUGGACAAUGGACCAAAAGUCUGAUCCAGCAAUUCUGUGUGCACGAUGACGUUUUUCGGAAUGUAAAGUGCUUUCAGUUGGGAAGAAAAAAAUGACGGUACCAACAGAAGAAGUGACGGCUAAAUACGUG
rnacentral:rRNA from 1 species